GAUGAACGCUGGCGGCGUGCCUAAUACAUGCAAGUCGAGCGAACAGAUAAGGAGCUUGCUCCUUUGACGUUAGCGGCGGACGGGUGAGUAACACGUGGAUAACCUACCUAUAAGACUGGGAUAACUUCGGGAAACCGGAGCUAAUACCGGAUAACAUAUUGAACCGCAUGGUUCAAUAGUGAAAGGCGGCUUUGCUGUCACUUAUAGAUGGAUCCGCGCCGUAUUAGCUAGUUGGUAAGGUAACGGCUUACCAAGGCAACGAUACGUAGCCGACCUGAGAGGGUGAUCGGCCACACUGGAACUGAGACACGGUCCAGACUCCUACGGGAGGCAGCAGUAGGGAAUCUUCCGCAAUGGGCGAAAGCCUGACGGAGCAACGCCGCGUGAGUGAUGAAGGUCUUCGGAUCGUAAAACUCUGUUAUCAGGGAAGAACAAAUGUGUAAGUAACUGUGCACAUCUUGACGGUACCUGAUCAGAAAGCCACGGCUAACUACGUGCCAGCAGCCGCAGUAA
rnacentral:rRNA from 1 species